rnacentral:lncRNA from 1 species
AUCGUUUUGGCCUUAGCCCAAACUCUGGAAUAGGUUUUGCAAGAGUGAAAUAGAGUAAGUAUUUUGGGAUCUAAUGAAUGCCAAAAAGACAAACAAUAGACACAAAGCUACUUUCACUACAAGGAAUAGGUGGACAGGAGGUGGAACCCACCUGACUAGAAUGGCCUCUAUUUGGCGAGGCUACUAAAGGUGUUGUUGGUGUGAGAUGGACACCAAAGAAGGGCCAAGUGUUGGGAGGCUACAAAAGGUGUUGUUGGUGUGAGAUGGUCACCAAAGAAGGGCCAAGUGUUGGGUGUCUACCGGAAGAGGAAAAGAAGCAGCAGCACAUGGCAGCGAAUUUGUUGACAGGCUCUGAAGGGACAUCGACUUCACACUUCACGCCAACAAGACUGAUGGGUUGUGUAGUGAGACCAACAACUUAAAAAGAGUCACCACCAAGAGAUGGCAAAUUUGCCUCUACAGAAAGAGAAAAGAGGGCAAAAUUCUUGGCUCCGAUACUAUGAAACAGAAAUUAAAAAGAAAGGAAGAGUGGGAGAAUACGAGAAAAUGAGCUUGAUGAUUUCCCUCAAGCUAAUUUAGGUCCUAGUUACUUGGAUCAUGGUACUCUUGAGCCAUGGUACGGGUACAUGGUACGUGGUAUGCCAAUUACUGAAAUAUAGAACAGGUAGAGGGUAAACUUUAAUAGGUACUUAAUUCGAUUAGUGGUAUGUUUAACAUUAGUUGGUAAGCUAAUUUAAUUUGAGGCACCUUAUUAUGUUUAUGCAAUAUAAUAUAUCGUUUAUAUAAUUAAAUUUAAAUAUAUGACUAAUAAUUGAUAAUAUUUAUUUUUUUGAAUUUUUUUUUCAUUUUUAACUAGAAAAUAAUAAUUUUAUACUCUCAAGUUAACACUACUAUCUAUUCCACUCAAAUUUAAAUCUACUACCUUGCUUAAAGUAUUUUAAAAAAUGCAUUUUCUUCUUUUAUUUUUCCUUUAUUAUAGCCUUUCUUCUUCCUCCUCUUUUGCUACUCCUUGUGCCUGCAUCCUAUUGCACACAUGCAUAUUUGUUUAUCAUUCUUCUUUCAUUUUUCUUUCACCUUUUCAUUUCUUGUUGGAAUCUCUAUUUUAGUAUUUAGAUCACAUCUACCAAAAGUAUCGCAGUUCAGCAGACGAUACUCGAAUACGGUUGUCACGGGGGUUAAGAGAAAAUACUAUUUACAAGUAUACAAAUUAUGUCAAUCCCUUAAUUAUAGCACAUAACCUUAGCACCUAAUUAUGCACUCAAUCAUUGUAAAUCAAGGCUAUUUACAACAACUAUCUCAUAACUAUCUCAACAAUGCCAUUAAAUGCAACCUUUACCACCCACAUUGAUGUUGAUUAGUAAAACAUGGAAGGAAAAAGGAAUUGGUACCCAUUGUCAAACAUUAUGGCAUCCACAAAAUUUUACCCUUUGUUUGUGAAGGGUUUUUUUAAAGUAAUAAAAGGUUUUUAAAGCCUUGAAUAUGUGUCUGACAGAGGGUGAGAUUUUUUAAAAUAAAGGUUUUUAAAGUUCUUAAGAACCUCCAAAAUCCUCCAAUUUCAACCCACCAAAUUGGUAGAUUGAUAAAAUUUUCUCUUGAAAAUCUCUAAAUACUUUAAUACUCUCACUCUUUUUGGGAGGAGAUUUUUUAAAUAAUGGAAGGUUUUUUAAGUUUUAAAAACCUUGAACCUUUGUUUGGGAGGGAGUGAGAGUUUUUAAAGUAAGGUUUUGGGAGGUUCUUAAAAACCUUCAAUUUCAACCCACCAAAUUGGCGGGUUGAGAAGGUUCUCUUGAAAAUCUCCAAUCACCUUAAAAAACCUUUUCUUUUUUCCAAACAAUAAGAAGGGAUUAAAGUUUAAAAACAAUGAAACAAUUUACCAUAUAAAACUAUACCUUAGAAAACCUUAUUUUACCUUACCUACUCUGUUUACAAAGUGUAAAGAACUUCUCUUCUUCCCAAAUAAUAAAAAUUUACUAAGGUUUAAAAACCAUGAAAAUCCAUACCUCAAAAUUUUACUUACUCUACCUCUUUCCAAACAGAGGGUUAAGAACUAGCACUUCUUCAUGCUUUAUUUACAAUAUACAAGACAGUCAUAGCAUCUUAAAAUUGACUUGAGAAAAGAAAUAUCUACAACCUACGUGUGAUCAUGCAUAAAA